AAGCACUCAAGUGUUUUGUGAUAUUUUGAAGAGUUGUGUGAGCCAUUCUAACCCCCAAAUCCGACCACUCUCCCUCUCUCAUUCACUCUCAUCUGAUUUUUUAAGACCAUUCAAAGUGUUCUCUCAAUAUUCAACCUCAAGAACACCAAGGAAAACUUGGAGGCUAAGUCUUGGUCUAGGAAGUAUUUUCCCUAAGUUGGUUAGGGUUUUUGAAAGGUUUUGGAGGAGCCAAAGCUAAUAGGAAGGUCCAAACCUUAAGCAAGAACACCAAAGAGUAUUGGCUAAGCGUAAUUGGACUGAACGUUGGAGGGUGAAAACUUGCUGAGCGCUAAGGACUCCAAGUAAGUGCAAGGGCAAGGCAGAGCAGUGAGCGCUGGAGUCUUCCUUGCAAAUGUACAUGUGGACCGACCUUUUGGGAAGCCUUUUUAUUUUUGGAAAUGUUCUGUAAUUUUCCUAAACUAGGCUCACUCUAAUCUUUAUAAAACAUGUUUGUAAUUAAAUGUUAAGUAUGGCCAUACGACUUUUUAAAAAGUUUUUUUUCUAUGGGUUUUUGAGACAUUUUGUUAAAUGAAAACAUUUAUAUUUCCGCAUUAUCGAGUCUUGAAAAUCCGGGUCGUUACACCUAUGCAUUCCUCAACUUGUGAUGAAACUGAUUUGUUGAAAUGGCUAGCAUAUGGACCCAGAAAACAUGCUGCUUCUUACGCUGGAUAUAUUAUCAAUGGUCAAAGAUUCCAUAUACAUGACAUUGAGAAGUCCACACAGAAUAGUGGUGUCUCAAUUGAAGCUACAACUAUGUGUAGAUCUAGUGCCAAAGAUGUAUCUCAAGUUCCUAAUUUAGUUUCAUACUAUGGGGUUAUAAGGGAGAUAAUCUUGUUAGAUUGCUAUAUAGUUCAAACUCCAAUUUUCAAAUGUGAUUGGGCAAAUGUCCCUAACGGUUUUAGGGUGGAGGAUAGUCUUACUCUAGUUAAUCUACACUAAAGUCAAUGGUCUGUUGGUAGAGACCCUUUUAUUUUAGCAACACUAGUUAAACAGGUCUUCUACUCAUGAGAACAUGAUUCUUCCAAUUGGUAUGUGGUGAUUAGGACACCCCCUAGAGGUUUUUAUGACAUGGAAAAUUAUGAUG